rnacentral:rRNA from 1 species
CCUACGGGUGGCAGCAGUGGGGAAUAUUGCACAAUGGGGGAAACCCUGAUGCAGCAACGCCGCGUGAGCGAUGAAGGCCUUCGGGUCGUAAAGCUCUGUCCUAAGGGAAGAAUACUGACGGUACCUUAGGAGGAAGCCCCGGCUAACUACGUGCCAGCAGCCGCGGUAAUACGUAGGGGGCUAGCGUUAUCCGGAAUUACUGGGCGUAAAGGGUGCGUAGGCGGCCCUUCAAGUCAGAGGUGAAAGGCUACGGCUCAACCGUAGUAAGCCUUUGAAACUGUAGGGCUUGAGUGCAGGAGAGGGGAGUGGAAUCCCCGGGGUGGGGGUGAAAGGCGUAGAUAUGGGGAGGAAAACCAGUGGAGAAGGGGGCUCUCGGGACUGUAACUGACGCUGGGGCACGAAAGGGUGGGGAGCGAACAGGAUUAGAUACCCAAGGAGUC